rnacentral:rRNA from 1 species
UACAGAGGUCUCAAGCGUUGUUCGGAUUCAUUGGGCGUAAAGGGUGCGUAGGCGGCGAGGCAAGUCUGGUGUGAAAUCCCGGGGCUCAACCCCGGAACUGCACUGGAUACUGCUUUGCUAGAGUACUGGAGAGGGAACUGGAAUUUACGGUGUAGCAGCGAAAUGCGUAGAUAUCGUAAGGAAGACCAGCGGCGAAGGCGAGUUCCUGGACAGUUACAGACGCUGAGGCACGAAGGCCAGGGGAGCAAACGGG